rnacentral:rRNA from 1 species
CACGUAGGCACCAAGCGUUGUCCGGAUUUAUUGGGCGUAAAGAGCUCGUAGGCGGUUUAGUAAGUCGGGUGUGAAAACUCUGGGCUUAACCCGGAGACGCCACCCGAUACUGCUGAACUUGAGUUCGGUAGGGGAGUGGGGAAUUCCUGGUGUAGCGGUGAAAUGCGCAGAUAUCAGGAGGAACACCGGUGGCGAAGGCGCCACUCUGGGCCGAAACUGACGCUGAGGAGCGAAAGCGUGGGUAGCAAACAGG